AUUGAACGCUGGCGGCAUGCCUUACACAUGCAAGUCGAACGGCAGCACGGGAGCAAUCCUGGUGGCGAGUGGCGAACGGGUGAGUAAUAUAUCGGAACGUGCCCAGUCGUGGGGGAUAACGUAGCGAAAGCUACGCUAAUACCGCAUACGAUCUAUGGAUGAAAGCGGGGGAUCGCAAGACCUCGCGCGAUUGGAGCGGCCGAUAUCAGAUUAGGUAGUUGGUGAGGUAAAGGCUCACCAAGCCGACGAUCUGUAGCUGGUCUGAGAGGACGACCAGCCACACUGGGACUGAGACACGGCCCAGACUCAUACGGGAGGCAGCAGUGGGGAAUUUUGGACAAUGGGCGCAAGCCUGAUCCAGCAAUGCCGCGUGCAGGAUGAAGGCCUUCGGGUUGUAAACUGCUUUUGUACGGAACGAAACGGUGAGCUCUAAUACAGUUUGCUAAUGACGGUACCGUAAGAAUAAGCACCGGCUAACUACGUGCCAGCCGCCGCAGUAA
rnacentral:rRNA from 1 species